rnacentral:lncRNA from 1 species
CAAUUUGUCCUUUAGCGUUUUUGGACCUAAACGUAAAAACGUAAACUUUUGGGCCUAAGUGCAAAUACACAAAAGUAUCAAAACUUUAUGUAAUUGCAUAAAAGCCCCAAAAGUACUCCCACUUGAGGGAGGGCCGGUUUUGGAAGAAGAAAUGGAGUGAUGUGUGUGUUGAUUUGUAGUUUGACAUAAAGCAUGCAAGUGCACAAGUGGUGUGUGUGAAAGGGUUUUAAUCCUUUCACACCCACCAUUAUUUCUAUUGCCAUUUAAACAAAUAUCUAAAACAUUUAAACAUUUGAAAAACAUAAAACAUAAACUUUAUGAAAUAAAUCAAAACUUUGAAUCAAAACACAAACCUUUU